GUGCUCGCUUCAGCAGCACAUAUACUAAAAUUGGAAUGAUACAGAGAUUAGCAUGGUUCCUGCACAAGGAUGACACUCAAAUUCGUGAAGCGUUCCAUAUUUUU
rnacentral:snRNA from 1 species